rnacentral:rRNA from 1 species
GAUUAAACUUCUCUUCGGAGGAGAUAUAAAGUGGCGUACGGGNUAGUAACACGUAAGUAAUCUACCCUCGAGUGGGGAAUAACAUCGGGAAACCGAUGCUAAUACCGCAUAAUGCAGCGGCACCGCAAGGUGACAGUUGUUAAAGGAGCAAUUCGCUUGAGGAGGAGCUUGCGGCAGAUUAGCUAGUUGGUAAGGUAAUGGCUUACCAAGGCAACGAUCUGUAGCCGGUCUAAGAGGACGGUCGGUCACACUGACACUGAAUAACGGGUCAGACUCCUACGGGAGGCAGCAGUCGGGAAUUUUGGGCAAUGGGCGCAAGCCUGACCCAGCAACGCCGCGUGAAGGAUGAAGUAUUUCGGUAUGUAAACUUCGUAAGAAUGGGAAGAACAAAUGACGGUACCAUUUGUAAGCCCCGGCUAACUACGUGCCAGCAGCCGCGGUAAUACGUAGGGGGCAAGCGUUGUUCGGAUUUACUGGGCGUAAAGGGCGCGUAGGCGGCGUGACAAGUCACUUGUGAAAUCUCCGGGCUUAACUCGGAACGGCCAAGUGAUACUGUCGUGCUAGAGUACAGAAGGGGCAAUCGGAAUUCUUGGUGUAGCGGUGAAAUGCGUAGAUAUCAAGAGGAACACCUGAGGUGAAGACGGGUUGCUGGGCUGAUACUGACGCUGAGGCGCGAAAGCUAGGGUAGCAAACGGGAUUAGAUACCCCGGUAGUCCUAGCCCUAAACGAUGAAUACUUGGUGUCUGGAGUUUUUAUCCUCCGGGUGCCGUCGCUAACGUUUUAAGUAUUCCGCCCUGGGGAGUACGCACGCAAGUGUGAAACUCAAAGGAAUUGACGGGGACCCGCACAAGCGGUGGAGCAUGUGGUUUAAUUCGACGCACCGCGAAAACCUUACCUGGACU